AGAGUUUGAUCCUGGCUCAGGACGAACGCUGGCGGCGUGCUUAACACAUGCAAGUCGAGCGAUGAAGCUUCCUUCGGGAAGUGGAUUAGCGGCGGACGGGUGAGUAACACGUGGGUAACCUGCCUCAAAGUGGGGGAUAGCCUUCCGAAAGGAAGAUUAAUACCGCAUAAUAUAAGAGAAUCGCAUGAUUUUCUUAUCAAAGAUUUAUUGCUUUGAGAUGGACCCGCGGCGCAUUAGCUAGUUGGUAAGGUAACGGCUUACCAAGGCAACGAUGCGUAGCCGACCUGAGAGGGUGAUCGGCCACAUUGGAACUGAGACACGGUCCAGACUCCUACGGGAGGCAGCAGUGGGGAAUAUUGCGCAAUGGGGGAAACCCUGACGCAGCAACGCCGCGUGGGUGAUGAAGGUCUUCGGAUUGUAAAGCCCUGUUUUCUAGGACGAUAAUGACGGUACUAGAGGAGGAAGCCACGGCUAACUACGUGCCAGCAGCCGCGGUAAUACGUAGGUGGCGAGCGUUGUCCGGAUUUACUGGGCGUAAAGGGUGCGUAGGCGGAUGUUUAAGUGGGAUGUGAAAUCCCCGGGCUUAACCUGGGGGCUGCAUUCCAAACUGGAUAUCUAGAGUGCAGGAGAGGAAAGCGGAAUUCCUAGUGUAGCGGUGAAAUGCGUAGAGAUUAGGAAGAACACCAGUGGCGAAGGCGGCUUUCUGGACUGUAACUGACGCUGAGGCACGAAAGCGUGGGUAGCAAACAGGAUUAGAUACCCUGGUAGUCCACGCCGUAAACGAUGGAUACUAGGUGUAGGGGGUAUCAACUCCCCCUGUGCCGCAGUUAACACAAUAAGUAUCCCGCCUGGGGAGUACGGUCGCAAG
rnacentral:rRNA from 1 species